AGAGCGAACGCUGGCGGCAGGCCUAACACAUGCAAGUCGAGCGCCCGUAGCAAUACGGGAGCGGCAGACGGGAUAGUAACACGUGGGAACGCGCCCUUCGGUUCGGAAUAACUCAGGGAAACUUGAGCUAAUACCGGAUACGCCCUUACGGGGAAAGAUUUAUUGCCGAAGGAACGGCCCGCGUCCGAUUAGCUAGUUGGUGAGGUAAUGGCUCACCAAGGCGACGAUCGGUAGCUGGUCUGAGAGGAUGACCAGCAUCACUGGGACUGAGACACGGCCCAGACUCCUACGGGAGGCAGCAGUGGGGAAUAUUGGACAAUGGGCGCAAGCCUGAUCCAGCCAUGCCGCGUGGAUGAUGAAGGCCUUAGGGUUGUAAAGUCCGUUUUAACGGGGAAGUAUAAUGACGGUACCCGUAGAAUAAGCCCGGCUAACUUCGUGCCAGCAGCCGC
rnacentral:rRNA from 1 species